GGUCCUGUGGCGCAACGGUAGCGCAUCUGACUCCAGAUCAAAAGGUUGUUCGUUCGAAUCGGAGCAGGGUCA
rfam:Perkinsus marinus ATCC 50983 gcontig_1104296772320, whole genome shotgun sequence.